AGCAGCCGCCGCGGUAAUACGUAGGGUGCGAGCGUUAUUCGGAUUGAUUGGGUGUAAAGGGUGUGCAGACGGCUUAUUAAGUCACUUGUUAAAUUCUUCGGCCUAACUGAAGGUCUGCAAGUGAUACUGAUGAGCUAGAGGGUGGAAGAGAGAAGUGGAAUUCUCGGAGUAGCGGUAAAAUGCGUAGAUCUCGAGAGGAACACCAAUGGCGAAGGCAGCUUCUUGGUCCAUUCCUGACGUUCAUACACGAAAGCGUGGGGAGCAAACAGGAUUAGAUACCCGCGUAGUCCCUGUCUCUUAUAC
rnacentral:rRNA from 1 species